UUGUUCAUACAUACUUCCUUUGAUGCUGCAGUCCUUUGAGGUUCUAGAACCUUCUAGGCCUAACAAGAUAGGUGAUUUGUCUUAACGUUUGUGGUUAAGUUGCCACUGUGUGAGUGCUGUGUUUUAGAGAAAAAUAGUUGGAGGGAGGUGGCAUUCUCUUACACAGAGCUGAAGGAUUGGCCACCCAAAUUUCUUUGUCUUAGUAUGUUUUUACUAACUCCCACAGGGAUCCCUAUAGCUUUGGAGAUAGUCGAGAUACAAGGCGUGAUCGCUCUCCAAUUCGAGGAAGUCCAAGGAGAGAACCCAGGGAUGGCAGAAAUGGCCGGGAUACCCGGGAUAGAGACAUUCGAGACCCUCGGGAGUUGCGGGACCGCAGAGACAGCAGGGACAUUCGGGAUCACAGAGACAGCAGAAGUGUACGUGAAGCCCGGGACCUGAGGGAUUUUCGGGACUUUCGUGAUCUAAGAGACUCUAGAGAUUUUCGAGAUCAUCGAGACCCCGUGUAUGACAGAUACAGAGAAAUAAGAGACUCCAGAGACCCUUUGUACAGGAGAGAAGGCUCUUAUGACCGGUAUCUGAGGGUGGAUGACUAUUGCCGGAGAAAGGAUGACUCUUACUUUGACCGGUACAGAGACAGCUUUGAUGGACGGGGCCCUCCUGGCCCAGAGAGCCAGUCUCGUGCAAAAGAGCGUUUGAAACGUGAGGAACGACGUAGAGAGGAGCUUUAUCGUCGGUAUUUUGAGGAGAUCCAGCGGCGCUUUGAUGCUGAGAGGCCUGUGGAUU
rnacentral:lncRNA from 1 species